GGCCCAGUAGCUCAGCUGGAUAGAGCGUCGGCCUCCGAAGCCGAAGGUCGCAGAUUCGAAUUCUGCCUGGGUCACCA
rnacentral:tRNA from 1 species